UAUUCUGCCCCAUGGGGAAGGAUGAGAAGCUUCGACUAAGGUUCGACUCGAGCGCCAGCGAGAGAACGUUGCCGCAGGCAANCGGCCCGAAGGGCGAGGCGCUUUAGCGCCGAGUAAUCCUUCCCCCACCACCA
rnacentral:sRNA from 1 species